GGGUGCCCAGAGAAGCUGUGGCUGCCCCAUCCCUGGCAGUGUUGAAGGACAGGUUGGACACAGGGGCUUGGAGCAACCUGCUCUAGUGGAAGGUGUCCCUGCCUGUGGUAGGGGGUUGGAACUGGAUGAGCUUUAAGGUCACUUCCAACCCAAAACAUUUUAAAGUUCUAUGAUUUUCUGAAAGUAAAAUUUACUGCAUGCAGAAUCCUUUGUUGAGUAGAAGAGGAAGGGAAGGACUCCUCUGAAGCUGACCUAUUUGUGCUUUGGUGCAUUUUUCAUAAACUAGACAAAAUCCCAAUUCAAUGUAGGCUGCUGCACGGCCUUGUGAGGGAGGCUGGAGGUUUCUCUAAAAUACCUCUGUGGUUAUUGUUAAUUAGAAAAAAAUAAUAUUGCUCAAGGAUCACUUUUCAGUUGAACUUCCUGAACAUAUGGUUCAAACUGAAGCUGAAAAGGAAAACUUCAGGACAAACUGUAUGAAUUACUACUAAUAAUAAAAUCAGACAUUUUUUAUAAGUCCACAUUAAUCUUGUUUAAAAGCUUUGGGUUGACCACAUUUUUUAAAUAAAACUUUUACCAGAGUGGAAUUUAUUAAGAGAGCUCAGCAGUGCCUUAGCUCUGGUCCACAGGGCAUCAAGAGAAGUUUUAUUACUGACUUCAGUCACACCAGACUUAGAUCUACACAGAAUGGUUUUGAUAAGCCCAAUGUAAAGUUUUAUUGGUUUAAGACAUGAAAACCAGACAUGUUACAGAGGCCGCUCCUACUAUAUAAACAUAGUCCUAACAUAUAAUGCAGUGCACUGGAGUUGAUGCUUGAGAGCGUAAGUGAUGGUGUACUUCAGGAAGUAAAGCCUGGCUAAGUAUAUACAGCUAACAAUAACAAUAUAUUCCAAGCUUGUAUAUGGCAAUUCUCCUCUGUAGAUCUCAAAAUAAAAUCAAAAUCACGUCUGUAUCAUUUUGUCAUACUCACAGAUGGAAAAGGGAAAAUUAACCAGGCCAGAAAAGAGGGAAGUUUAUGAUCUUUGUUGUUAAUGUCUGUCUUUGUACUUGAAACUGUAACUACUGUGACAUUAUUUGAAACAUGUUUUGAGGCCAUAUGCUUACUGUUUGUCUUGGAGUGAGUUACAUUCAAAGCAUCCUUUUCCUGUAUGUUAUAAAACAGUGUUAUAAAAACAUGAAACAACCUCAAGUAUUAAAUGGUGUCACUCAUGAGGGAGAUGAGCCCUACAUAGUGUCCCUAGCUGUUGGUGAUCCACUGAUCUGUUGUGUUUUCAGAGGAUGGAGAGAGUGGCAGGGGUGAUGAGGAGAUGGGCUGUAUGAGAAUCAUUUCAAUCUAGAGAAAAAUGACACUUCCUAAAGAUAAAAAUGUGCUUUUAUUGCACUAAGCACCAACAACACAGCCCCUUGUUUUCAUUUAUGCUGAUGUCUUUUUAUAACAUUCUUAUAUGGUAAAAAAAAAAUGUAGCUCGCUUGUAACUAUAAUUUGCCCUUGCUUUGGGUCUCUGUAAAAUGCCAGAGCAGUAGAAAGAAGCUUUAUGAUUCUGAGCAGUGUCUCCUGAUGCAUCUUGCUCUUGCAGUAUCAGACAGUACUGCCUCCAGCUGCCUGCCUUCCCUUCUGCCAGACAUUGCUGAUGUUGUGCUUCACAGUAGCCCUGAAAAACCUCCUAGGGCAGCUUCAGCCUCAUCAGAUCAUGGUGAACUCUAUUUCUCUUCCCAGCCCUGCUGUGAGGAUGAGGGCAUAUAGAAAGGAACCUGAUUAAGCAGCUGGGGCAGGGAGGUUGUAAACUUCACCUGUAAGUUCACUGGACGAUGUAUCUCAGAGGUAUGAGAUGAACAGUGUUCACUCCAAGUGUGCUGGUGGCCUUAUUCUGCUGCCUUUCAAAGCAGGAGCAAAGCUCACACUGGCUCUAGCAGUGCAGAAUGUGAGCCUUAAAAAUCCUGAAAUCCCCUUUAUAAAUGCAAUUAUGAACAUAACUCCCUCCAGUAUUCCAUGCUUCAUCCUUGCUUUCCCUUUGAAAAAUGAUUUAAAUUUUGUAAUCCUAACCAUAUGGUUUAGCAGCCUCAAAGAAGGCAUUUAGCAGACACAUUUAGCUAGAGAAUUCUGGGUUUACUUAGAUUAUCCAGUGACUAGAGAUGCGCUGGGGAGAACAGGGGAGUGGGCAGCCUCAGCAGAAGGACCCUGUGAAUUUGGAUCUGUCUGUUUCCUGUUAAGCCAGAUCCUGGGCUGCAAUACCCAGUUACUGAGCAUGCAUCGUGAUGAGACGUCUUUGAACCCACAUUUACAUAAUGUGGUCAUAAGAUUUUAAAAUUUACUCAAAAAUCAAUAAAAAAGUUAGAAGUUGUUUUAUACAUGACUAGAAACUCACUUUUUGAAUUGUUUAAUAUGUAACUUCCACUAUUUUUUAUUAUGUUUAGAAAGCUUUUACAGGACCACAAGCCAAUGUAAUGAUGCCACAUUGCUCUAGACCAUUUCUUUAUUUUACACAAUUGUUUCUCAAGGGAAGCAAGUCUGGAACAGAAUCAGACCUAAGCCUAGCACGUCAAUUUUCACCAGUAAACACAAUCAGAAUUAAUUUUAUGGGCUAGCUGGAUUUUUAGGCUGUUGAUUAAAAAGACAAGCUGUCUGCCCAGAAGUGAGUUCAUGCUUGGAGGUGCCAGACUGACAGAUGCAGAAGCUGGAGCCGUUUCGUUAUCCGGAGAACUGACACAGUGGAAGGAAGCAGUAGCAUCCUCUCCAGGCUGUUCUAAUACAACACUUCACCCUGAUGGACUCCCUAAAUAUGUGAGCAUAGCUCCUGUUCUCCAGCGUUUUCCUAGCUACUCUGCUCAACAUGUUAAAUUCGUAAAGGCUGCUAACAAAGAUGUCAAUUUUUCCUGUGAUUUUUAGACAGUAAUGUUUAUACACUGGAAAAGGGGUUUGAACACAUUCAAUCUAUUUGAGUGAGGCCAUCAAGCAUUUGAUUAGUACUAAAAAAAGGAUGUGAAUGGUUUUAAUACAGAGGCAAAACCCUUCAAACUAAAUAAUAGCAGAAAGAUUACAGACAUUUUGUAAAGGUGAAAUGACCCAGAUUCCUUUUACUUGCUAGGGGCUGCAGGUGUAGUGCUGUGGCUCUUUUGCAGUCACUUACCUACCAGACAUGAUAAUCUUCGAAACUGGCUGCUAAAUUCUGCACUGUUUCAAUAAGCAGGAUUUUGGUUCCAUUUUUUAUGUCCCUCUAAACCUAUUAUUGCUUGGUUACCACUAGAGUUCAAAGCACUUCCCCCAGCCCCCAGGCACAGCAAGAUGCAGGGCAGCAAGGAAUCUGCGCUCUUCUUGCACUUUCAUCAGCAUCCAGUCUUUAACUGGGAACCUGAGAUAUUAUUAGGCUUGACUCAUUGAAUUUGACCAUACCUGUUUGAGAAAGACUGUUAAAUAAUAGCAAGGUUCCCUUCACAUAUCUCCAGAAUAUUUUGAGAAAGAUAACAGACAGAAGAAAAUCUCCUAAAAAUCUAUGAAUCUAUACGUAAAAUCAUUAAAAACAUGACUGUCUAAGGCCUGACAUUCCUACUGACCUUUUUUGGUCUCAGUUCAUGCUGAAAGUUGCAAUCCUGGAUCCAUUUUGUCCAACUGUAGGUUGGGCUUUUUGGGUGCUAGGUCUUUUAUUGAGGCCUUAAAGCACAACUACAGUGUAAAUAAUAAUGUUUACUGAUAAUAAGUGUGUAAUUUUGGCUUUGGAGCUGAAGCUGGUGAAUACUUAUUUGUGCUUGAGUUAUUUUGCAUAGUUGAAUAGUCCCAUCAAAGCCAACAGGUCUGCUCAUGCCAACGACUUGUAUUAUUGCAUUAUUAUUUCCCAGUUUUACAAAUCAGGGUUCUUAUUCUACUCCACAAAAUCCUACCUAACCAAAAAUUGGGGUUGAGAAGUAUAAAGAUGAGGUUGAGAAGUACGAAGAUGUGAAAUCACAUUUCCUGGCAAUGUUCUGGAAUACAGCCUCUCUAAUGGCAUCUGACACAAACCAGGGGUUUUUAACUGAGAUGGAGGUUUGCAGUAUGCACUCUCAGUGUGUCCCAGCUGUGACCUAAUUCCAUCCUGGGAUGUAAGAGUGCUGGCUGCUGGAUACAUAGGCAGACUUCCCAGUGUUCUGCUGAAAUAAAGAGCUAAGCGAUCAGAACUGCUGUGAACCUGGUUCCUAUGCAAAAGCAAAACAUGUCAGCCCAGCUGUCAGUGAAGAGCAUCAGGAAAGCAAGAGAGGAAUCUCUCUAAAUGGAAACAUAAGAUGAAUGGUUAGUGGAAACAGGCGAUUGUAACUUUCACCUCCAAAAACGAUCUGAGUGCAAAAUGUACUUUUGUUAGAAAUACAUAUAAAAAUAAUUGUAACCUCCCUGUCACUGCCUUAAAAAGAGGCUCCACCUGCCUGCUGCAGGAGUUGGCUUUCACUCUUUGGAAUAUGCUGUAUCAAGAGAACCUUAAAAUAUGGAGGGGGGAGAAUAAAAUUCAGACAAACUGCAGUUUAUGUUCAAAGAAAAGAAAAAGGGAAAAUGACAUUGAUAUAAAAAUAAUGGGAAAUCUGAACUCAGUUUUGCAUGCUAACUUCCUUAUUUAAUACAUAAAUGUUGUGGUGAGUAUCAGGAUAAUUCUUCUUAUGCUCUCCAUACCUUCAGCUUGCCUACUCUGUUUAGCUAUGGUGGGGUUUUAGACAUUUCUGUGUUAUUUAAUAGCAAGUGAUAGCUCUGACAUUUUCACCUAUGUUUCUAUUUCUGAACAUAAGACUUUUCUUCAGCUAGAGAAUACUAUUUACAUCCUCCAUUUAACAGAAUCAUAGAAUCAACGAGGUUGGUAACAUGUCUUCUACGAAUUUUUCACACUAACUUACAGAUGUUGAGAAAAAAAUGCUUUUAUAACUUAGCUGUUCAUUUUCUACUUAAAAAUAACGAACAAGUUACGAACAUUUUAGUCAGUGAAUCUUCUAUACUGAUGAUAAUGUUUUGAAUAAUAAGAUAAUGGCAUAAAACAGACACAAUGAAACA